rnacentral:rRNA from 1 species
GGAAGGUCCGGGCGUUAUCCGGAUUUAUUGGGUUUAAAGGGAGCGUAGGCAGUUUUUUAAGCGUGCUGUGAAAUGUACCGGCUCAACCGGUGAUGUGCAGCGCGAACUGGGAAUCUUGAGUACGCAGUAAGCAGGCGGAAUUCGUGGUGUAGCGGUGAAAUGCUUAGAUAUCACGAAGAACUCCGAUUGCGUAGGCAGCUUGCUGUAGCGUAACUGACGCUGAAGCUCGAAAGUGCGGGUAUCGAACAGGAUUAGAUACCCUGGUAGUCCGCACGGUAAACGAUGGAUGCCCGCUGUCGGCCUUUUUUGGUCGGUGGCCAAGCGAAAGCGUUAAGCAUCCCACCUGGGGAGUACGCCGGCMACGGKG